GUAAAAAGAAAAGGUGACGAAAAAUUGCUUCUUCUUCUUCUUCGAAAUUGCCACAAUGGCGGAUUUUGGUCGCUUUUUUCAUCAGUUGCUUUUAAAGUGACAGCAUCGACAGCAUGCAAAAUGUAAACAAACAUGUGAGAGUGAAAAAUAGUGUUUAAUUGUUAAUUAAUUGUGAAAUUGUGAGGUACUUGUGUAUAAAUUUACGAAAAGAAUGUCUACAUCAUCAAUACGCUGUUGUUUUGGGAACUUCCAGGAAAAACUAGCGCUAAUUAACCUCAAGAUUAAGUGGAAAUUGUCCUUUAUGAAGCCCUUCUAUUGUAUUCACGAGCAUGAGGUCAACAAGUGUCCAAAACUACAUGAAAAUGUCGCUCCUUCUUUUUGAGAAGACAACACCGCAUCCAAAUCCAAGUCCCUCCGUCAUCAGCCUCGCAAAGUCAACGCCAGCACUACAGCCUCCAACAAGUUCAGUCCAAUGAUCAAGGGCUCCUGGACAUCUCCCAGAGUCACUGCUUCCCCUUAAGUCCCAUCCACUCAACUGCCGAUGGAGUACCCUCACCGCGAGACACGGAAGUGUGGGACAUAGUCCCUGCCGCCGCCGGAAAGACCAUCGAAGGAAGGAAGAGCUGGGAUUGAGGAGUGGAAUUUGGGAGGAUGUAUAGAAGGAAAAGGAAAAUAAAGGAUUUCGUAUCACCAUAGUGCUGGAUUAUACGACAUGAUACACAAAAUCAAUUUAGACGCUGAACUGGAAGUGGGAAGUACAAGAAAUUUGAGAACAAGAGAAGGCGAGAGGAUCAUCAACAGGAUUUCAUUCCAUCUCGGAAGAAUACGGUAAGACAGUUAAUUAUUUGUGGGGAUUUGUAUCAUUUUUCGGCGUAUAUUUUUGCGAAAUUCACGUAUUUUUCUUCAAGAAAAGUUAAA